rfam:Oryza rufipogon genomic scaffold, chr02
CUAACGGCCAACCCUUCCCUAUUCCCUACUUUAAGUGUCCGUCUUAUAUAAAUUUUUUUUAUAAUUCGUAUUUUCAUUGUUGCUAGAUGAUAAAACAUGAUUAAUAUUUUAUGCGUGACUUGUCUUUUUAAUUCUUUUCAUAAUUUUUUUAAAUAAGACGGACGGUUAAAUAUUGGACACGGAAACCAGGGUUUGUCUUUUU